UACGUAGGGGGCAAGCGUUUGUCCGGAAUCAUUGGGCGUAAAGAGCGUGUAGGCGGUUCGGUAAGUCGGCUGUGAAAGUCCAGGGCUCAACCCUGGAAGGCCGGUGGAAACUGUCGGGCUAGAGUCCGGAAGAGGCGAGUGGAAUUCCCGGUGUAGCGGUGAAAUGCGCAGAUAUCGGGAGGAACACCAAUGGCGAAGGCAGCUCGCUGGGACGGUACUGACGCUGAGACGCGAAAGCGUGGGGAGCAAACAGG
rnacentral:rRNA from 1 species